UACGUAGGGGGCAAGCGUUGUCCGGAAUUAUUGGGCGUAAAGAGCGUGUAGGCGGUCCGGUAAGUCGGCUGUGAAAGUCCAGGGCUCAACCCUGGGAUGCCGGUCGAUACUGCCGGACUAGAGUUCGGAAGAGGCGAGUGGAAUUCCCGGUGUAGCGGUGAAAUGCGCAGAUAUCAGGAGGAACACCAAUGGCGAAGGCAGCACUCUGGGGACGGUGA
rnacentral:rRNA from 1 species